rnacentral:rRNA from 1 species
AAUGAACGCUGGCGGCGGGCCUAACACAUGCAAGUCGAACGAGUGGAGGACGGGUGAGUAAGGUCUGGGAAACUGCCUGAUGGAGGGGGAUAACUAGGGGAAACGGUAGCUAAUACCGCAUAACAUCGGAUGUGGCCAGAUGGGAUUAGUUAGUAGGGGGGGGACAGGCUCACCAGGGCGACGAUCCCGAGCUGGUCUGAGAGGAUGACCAGCAACACUGGAACGGAGACACGGUCCAGACUCCUACGGGAGGCAGCAGUAGGGAAUAUUGGACAAUGGACGCAAGCCUGACGGAGCCAUGCCGCGUGUAUGAAGAAGGCCUUCGGGUUGUAAAGUUCUUUCAGCGGGGAGGCGUUACCCGCAGAAGAAGCACCGGCUAACUCCGUGCCAGCAGCCGCGGUAAUUC